rnacentral:rRNA from 1 species
UACGAAGGGGGGCUAGCGUUGUUCGGAAUUACUGGGCGUAAAGCGCGCGCAGGCGGUCUUCCAAGUCAGUGGUGAAAGCCCGGAGCUCAACUCCGGAACUGCCAUUGAAACUGUUAGACUUGAGGAUGAGAGAGGUGAGUGGAAUUCCCAGUGUAGAGGUGAAAUUCGUAGAUAUUGGGAAGAACACCAGUGGCGAAGGCGGCUCACUGGCUCAUUUCUGACGCUCAGGCGCGACAGCGUGGGGAUCAAACAGG